GGAGUUGUAGCUCAGUUGGUUAGAGCGGUCCGUUCACAUCGGACAGGUCACAGGUCCGAAUCCUGUCAACUCCA
rnacentral:tRNA from 1 species